CGAGGACAUUCUUAUUCAGAACCGAAGCGGCUUAAUCUGAUUUAGCUAAAUUCACUUCCAAAGCCCAUAAGCACUGCAUGGGCACUAAAUCAAGAGGCACUUCAUUAGCCCAAGGGCCUUAACCAAAAGAUGAUGACCCC